rnacentral:rRNA from 1 species
UGCGAACGCUGGCGGCAGGCCUAACACAUGCAAGUCGAACGAACCUUUCGGGGUUAGUGGCGGACGGGUGAGUAACACGUGGGAACGUGCCUUUAGGUUCGGAAUAACUCAGGGAAACUUGUGCUAAUACCGAAUGUGCCCUUCGGGGGAAAGAUUUAUCGCCUUUAGAGCGGCCCGCGUCUGAUUAGCUAGUUGGUUGAGGUAAUGGCUCACCAAGGCGACGAUCAGUAGCUGGUCUGAGAGGAUGAUCAGCCACAUUGGGACUGAGACACGGCCCAAACUCCUACGGGAGGCAGCAGUGGGGAAUCUUGCGCAAUGGGCGAAAGCCUGACGCAGCCAUGCCGCGUGAAUGAUGAAGGUCUUAGGAUUGUAAAAUUCUUUCACCGGGGACGAUAAUGACGGUACCCGGAGAAGAAGCCCCGGCUAACUUCGUG